GGGCCCGCACAAGCAGUGGAGUAUGUGGUUUAAUUCGAAGCAACGCGAAGAACCUUACCAGGUCUUGACAUCGUAUGCAUAACUUAGAGAUAAGUGAAAUCCCUUCGGGGACAUAUAGACAGGUGGUGCAUGGUUGUCGUCAGCUCGUGUCGUGAGAUGUUGGGUUAAGUCCCGCAACGAGCGCAACCCUUACCUUUAGUUGCUACGCAAGAGCACUCUAAAGGGACUGCCGUUGACAAAACGGAGGAAGGUGGGGAUGACGUCAAAUCAUCAUGCCCCUUAUGACCUGGGCUACACACGUACUACAAUGGCAAUUAACAAAGAGAAGCAAGACAGCGAUGUGGAGCAAAUCUCGAAAAAUUGUCCCAGUUCAGAUUGCAGGCUGCAACUCGCCUGCAUGAAGUCGGAAUUGCUAGUAAUCGUGGAUCAGCAUGCCACGGUGAAUACGUUCCCGGGCCUU
rnacentral:rRNA from 1 species